UGUCCAGACUCCUACGGGAGGCAGCAGUGGGGAAUAUUGCACAAUGGGGGGAACCCUGAUGCAGCGGCGCCGCGUGGGUGAAGGAGCACCUCGGUGCGUAAAGCCCUAUCAGCAGGGAAGAAGAAAUGACGGUACCUGAGUAAGAAGCACCGGCUAAAUACGUGCCAGCAGCCGCGGUAAUACGUAUGGUGCAAGCGUUAUCCGGAAUUACUGGGUGUAAAGGGAGCGUAGGCGGCAAGGCAAGUCUGAUGUGAAAACCCAGGGCCCAACCCUGGGACUGCAUUGGAAACUGUAUUGCUUGAGUACCGGAGAGGCAGGCGGAAUUCCUAGUGUAGCGGUGAAAUGCGUAGAUAUUAGGAGGAACACCAGUGGCGAAGGCGGCCUGCUGGGCUUUAACUGACGCUGAGGCUCGAAAGCGUGGGGAGCAAACAGGAUUAGAUACACCUGUA
rnacentral:rRNA from 1 species